UACGUAGGGUGCGAGCGUUAAUCGGAAUCACUGGGCGUAAAGCGCACGUAGGCGGAUGUGUCAGUCAGGGGUGAAAUCCCGGAGCUCAACUUCGGAACUGCCUUUGAUACAGCACGUCUUGAGUCCGAUAGAGGUGGGUGGAAUUCCUAGUGUAGAGGUGAAAUUCGUAGAUAUUAGGAAGAACACCGGUGGCGAAGGCGGCCCACUGGAUCGGUACUGACGCUGAGGUGCGAAAGCGUGGGGAGCAAACAGG
rnacentral:rRNA from 1 species